rnacentral:rRNA from 1 species
AUGAACAUCUCAACAAUCUCUCAGAUGAUCGCUGAACAAUCUCACAACAAUCUCAGAGCUAGAUCACAUAACAAUCUCACAUCUCAGCAAUGUUUUACCAUUUAUCAUCUACAUGACCAACAAAGUGACAACAAGCAAUCUGAGCAGAGGUCGGUGGCAAGAAAGAUCGGGAACAGAGGAGAGCUUCACCUGAAAGAAGGGCAGUGGGAGGAGUUGGUGAGGUCAGCUUGGUGCUUGACAACACCUAAACAGAGGGGAUCUACUGCCUGCGCUGCUCCUGCUCGGUGCUCCACGAUCAGCAGCACAGCGCAGCUGCUGCUCCUGCUCGGUCCCCUUAUGAGGGGUGGAGGGGAAUGA